GCUUGUGGGGGCGUGGACAGGAAGUCACUGGGUGGGGGCCAGGCCAAGGGCAGGCAGAUAAAGGCAGGAGGCUGUCCGAGGGGUGGCCAGGCACCAGGGACAGAGCACGGGCAUGGGGCCCAGAGGUCAGCAGGAGGGGCUUCUGCCCAAGCUGGUCAACAUUCAGACAUACGAAAUGGAGAUCAUCACGGGACCCAUCCUAACCCUCCAGCCUGGCCCUCAAGGGUGCACAUGGGAGCCGGGGUCAGGGGCACCUGCCCACCUCUGUGGGUUCCAGCAACAGGACAAACCGGCGCAUGGAUGGCUGUUUCCAUGCAUUUGUAUUUAGUAUUUAAAAACAAUGUAUAUAUACACACACGUGUCUAUUCCAGAGUGAA